rnacentral:rRNA from 1 species
AAAUUGAAGAGUUUGAUCAUGGCUCAGAUUGAACGCUGGCGGCAGGCCUAACACAUGCAAGUCGAACGGUAACAGGAAGCAGCUUGCUGUUUCGCUGACGAGUGGCGGACGGGUGAGUAAUGUCUGGGAAACUGCCUGAUGGAGGGGGAUAACUACUGGAAACGGUAGCUAAUACCGCAUAACGUCGCAAGACCAAAGAGGGGGACCUUCGGGCCUCUUGCCAUCAGAUGUGCCCAGAUGGGAUUAGCUAGUAGGUGGGGUAACGGCUCACC